rnacentral:rRNA from 1 species
UACGUAGGGUGCAAGCGUUGUCCGGAAUUAUUGGGCGUAAAGAGCUCGUAGGCGGUUUGUCGCGUCUGCUGUGAAAUCUGGGGGCUCAACCCCCAGCCUGCAGUGGGUACGGGCAGACUAGAGUGCGGUAGGGGAAAUUGGAAUUCCUGGUGUAGCGGUGGAAUGCGCAGAUAUCAGGAGGAACACCGAUGGCGAAGGCAGGUCUCUGGGCCACUACUGACGCUGAGAAGCGAAAGCAUGGGGAGCGAACAGG